UGCUGUUAAAAUGCUCGUAGUUGGAUCAACAGUUCGACAGUGCAAGGUGGCCCCACUGAGCCUUGGCUCCGGUCAUGGUGACGUGGCGGAUCAACCCCUUGCGUUAAACUGUCGUCUCUAACAGACCGAAACGGUUCCCUGCGAGUAGGCCCCUUAAUUAGGGCUGAAAACACCUACGCAUCAACCAUAUGCUUACGGGACGUCGGUCAACGUUACUGUGAGCAAACCAGCGUGUCCAAAGCAGGCUCUGCCUGAAUGUUCGAGCAUGGAACAACAAGGGGUCGAUUCUCUCGGUUCUUUUUGUUGGUUUUUAACCCGAGAAGGAGUAAUUCAGGCCACGGUGUCUGGGCUUGGUUCCCCUUCACCUUGGUGGAGGCCCCAGUUAGGCCGUGUCCUUACGGGAUAAAUAGGGACUGACGGGGUCGUACGUACUUCUACGUCAGAGGUGAAAUUCUUAGAUCGUGGGAAGACGAACUUCUGCGAAAGCAUUCGACAAGAAUGUAUUCAUUAAUCAAGAACGAGAGUGUGGGGAUCGAAGAUGAUCAGAUACCGGCGUAGUCCACUACUGUAAACAAUGCCGUCUCAGGAUUGAGAAGCGAACAUAAUGACUUUCACAGCACUAACCCCUGUAACGAG
rnacentral:rRNA from 1 species